rnacentral:rRNA from 1 species
AAUAUUAGUUAAGAUCUUAAAACCCAAAGAAUUUGGCGGUAUUUUAUUCCAUUCAGAGGAACCUACUCCAUGAUUGAUAGUGCACGAUUAACUUUACUUAAUUUAUUUGUUUGUAUAUCUCCGUUAUUCAGAAAAUCUUUUUAGGGUUAUAAUUUUCUUAAUUUAAAAUCUUAAAAUAUUUCAGGUCAAGGUGCAGCUUAUAAUUGAAGAGGUGGUGGGUUACAAUAAAUUUUUGUUUAUAACGAAUUUUUGAAUUAAGAAUUUUUAAUGAAGGUGGAUUUGAUUGUAAUUUAAUUGAUUUAAGUUAAUUGAUAUUGGCUCUAGUGUGUGU